AGUGAAGCCUUUUCCUAGAGCAGGGCUGUGAGCUGCUACGUUUCCUGUGACCUGUGCUAUUCCGUGGCUCCCAAUUGUUGGAAUACUCUUCUCCCAAGCUGUGAUGCUGGGUAUAUCCUGGCCCCCCGACUGCCAGGAUACUUCUCCAUCCAUUCCCUUGGCUUGCAACUGCCAGGAUCCCUUUCCGUCUGAGCUGUGAUACUUGCUUGCACCUGGUUGCGGUUGAGAGAGUUGAAUUUGGCAUCACGGAGACAUAGCAGGAAACAGGCCUUUCAGUGUCAAGAGAAGACUUGUUCAACUCUCCUGAUCAAAGCAAAAAGCCCUGGAAAAAGGUGAACAUGGGAGAGGCAGAAGACUGUGAACAAGGUUUGGGCAUCCAUCCUUUGGCCUUGAACUCCCCACCAACCACCUCUGGAGUCUCCUUGCCUCAGCAGCACUGCCCUCUGGAUCAUAAGACCCACAGCCAUGCAGUUCAAGGAACACCUGCCCUGUGAGUGCUUCCUUGUACAAAGGUUGGCAGAAGUCAAGUUUGAAAAAGGCACAUGCUACUCUGAAUCUGGAUGGCCAAGGGGAGCAGAGCAACAUGGUGGUUGAACCCUCUCUGGACCUCAUAGACUUAGUCUGAGCGGGAUCUUCUCUGACACACAGCAUGUCUUCGUGCUCUCAAGUGUGCGGCUCUUGCCCAGAGGUGAAGACAUUUACAAAAAACAUCAAUUGAGAACUAAAUGAUGGUUAGCGUGUGUGGAUGACGGUCAUGGAUAGGUCAUGUCUCUAAAGCACGAUUCCUCUGGCUCCCAACCUGAGCAAGAUAACAUAAUAAACCUUUAAAAAAUA